GCAAGCGAACACAACUAUCUACACUAAUCAAAUAUCAUUCGUUCACCUCCCAACACAUAUAAGGAAAGCACAAUCAUGAACAUUAGAUGGGCAUGGCCAAAGAGCUUAUGUAUACAAAGACUUACCUCCGCAGCUUCAAACCUUUCCUUUUGGUUCCACUCUCUUUGGCCCCCUUAGACCUUGGAUUGCUAAGAUAUUCUUGCAGGUGCUGGAAAGCCACGCUGAAAGCAAAUGAUUCUCCCUCUCUUUUGCCGUGAGGCCUCCUCCUCCCAAGUUGUGAUGAUCGGUGACUGUGAUGAUAGGUGAUGGUGAAACGUUGAACUAAAUGCUCUCUGGUUCUCGGAGCUUCCUUUGUUAUUGUCAGUUUUUGUUGCUAGCUAUGCAUCUUCUCCUUGCUGUAAGUGAAUGUAGUUGAAGAUGAUGAUCGGAAAUGGGCGAGGGGCCUUCAGAGCUAGUGGCCGGGUUUUGAUUAAUGUGAUGGUGAAGGUGAAGAAUUGGGAAUGAAAGGGAAAUGUGGUUGGGGUGGUCACGGGUGAGGGGAUAGCGUAGUGUGUGAGUGAAUGAUAAUGGUGCUUCCGAAUCCCCCUCUGCCUUCUGUAUGAUCAGUGCGUAUCCCUUCACCCUUGGGAUUUCUUGUUCGUCUUUUUUCAUGUUUCAUGUUUUUAUUGUAUCAGCUAGCCAAAGUAGUUCAAAUUUCGUUUCCAUUUUGAUGUAAGAUUAUGGUUCUGUGUAAGGAUUGUUGGCUCGUACACUGUGAGCACUUUGUUGCAGGGAAAAUAGCCUUUUAUAUUAAGCAUGCUAUGAGGUGUGGUACGUUGGAGGGAAGAGAGCUCCAGAGAGUUGUCGUUGCCUUGUGUGACUGAGCACCAAUCUGCUAUACCUUUUUUCUUUUUUUUUUCUUUUUUUCUUAAGUUUUUUUUUUUUGGUUUUUGUUAACGUUUAACAUAAAAACAAGAUUCAACUAAAUAAAAAGAAACUAACGUAAAAGGAAAAAAAAUAAAAAUGAGGUAACUCUAAAUAACAAAAAAGUAAAAUAAAAAUAAAAUAAAAACUAAUAUAAAAACGAAAUUAAAUAAUACAAAACAAAAUUAAAAGAUUAAAAGACAUAAAAUAAGAUAAAAUAAAAUAAAGUGAAAAACAUAAACAUAUGUCAUUUAGCCCGGACGAAAUUGAAUAGUGACACGUAUAUACAUAUACAUAUAAAUCUUUAUUAUAAUAAUAUAAUACGAAACUUACGUAAUUUAUUUUCGUCUGCAUAUAUACAUAUAUAAAUCUAUAUCAUAU
rnacentral:lncRNA from 1 species